GUGGGGGGAGUGUGGCCGGCGCGCCCGGGAGCGCCGCGCGCAUGCGCCCGGCCGGGCAGGGGAGGGCGCCGGCCGCUCGGCCGCCCGCGCUCCCGCCCGCCUGCGCGCCCGCCGGCCGGCCGACGCGGACGGUGGCUGUCGCCGCUCGGCCCGGGGUGGAAGUGCGCGGCGGAGACCCGUUAGGAGAAGAGGUCGGGCAGCCGCGGGACGGGAGGCGUGAGUAAGCGGCGAUCCGGCAAAAAAAAAAAAAAGGCCUGUGGAAGUGGCAAAGUUGAACUUUUUUUUUUUUUUCUCUUCCCCCCCCUGGCCGACGCGUUUCGAAGUUUGCCUUCCGGAAGUUACGGGGUUCUUUUUUCUCAGGCCCCUGUCCCGGGAGGGAAAGGAAAAACAGCGAUGUUGGGGAGCAGGCGGGUGUGUGGCCAGUGACUCGCAGCCGCGCUUUGAGCCUGGGAGCGCCGUGGGGGUCACGUGGGCCGGGCGCGCUUUCCCUCCGGUCCGGCGUCCGCGUCGUGCGUGGAAAAUCCCCACGCGUGGCAGUCGCAGCCAGGUGUGCGCCCCCGGGGGCGGCCGCAUCAAGCUAGUGGGUGUAGAACUGCGCGCGGGCCCGGAGAGUGUGAAAGGGAAAAAGCCGCACUGCUCGUGUCCACCGGCCGCCUGCGCUGGAGAUCCACCUGUUGGCCCUGUGUGUGUGGCAAGAGAAAGUGCCUGAAACCCCAUUUUCAAAAUGCGGAGGAAAGUGUGUGCGGAAACUGCUGUGCCCAGAUUGGCUGCAGACAAGAACAGAGCUUUCAAUGGAAAUGUUCAACAACUGAGACCAAAACCCUGAAGCAUUUCUUCAAAGAAUUGGAACAGAAACUAAAACGGCUUUACCAACAUGAUCCUGAAGACCAAGCACAGUCAAAACAAAGGCUCGCAAGAAGUGGAAGUAGUCCAGUCAAAACAAAAGUGAACCAGUGGAGAGCCAAGGUGGUGGCAGUAGUUUUUUGGGGGAAUGCCCAAGGCGUUUUGCUUGUUGACUUUCUAAAGCACCAAAGAAUGAUAACCACUGCUUCUUGGGAUGUUGCUGUGAGAAAGCCAAAGCUUUGGCAGAAAAACACCAAGACAGCUCCACCAGAGAGUUCUUCAUCACCACAACAAUGCUCAUUCCUGUCACCAAACAAGAGCCAUUUUGCAAAAGUUUUGAUGGGAUAUCAUUAAGCAUCCACUUUACAAUCCUUAUUCAGCUCCUUUUUGUUUCCUAAUCUUUGUAAGACAUUUUUCUUUAACAAUGUUAAAAAGACUGUUUUGACAGGAUUAAAAUUCCCAGCACCCUUAGUGAUGGGCCAAAUGGCUGGUUUUAUUUAUUUAUUUAUUUUGACAGGCAGAGUGGACAGAGAGAGAGAGAGACAGAGAGAAAGGUCUUCCUUUGCCGUUGGUUCACCCUCCAAUGGCCGCCACAGCUGGCGCGCUGUGGCCAAUGCACCGCGCUGAUCCGAAGCCAGGAGCCAGGUGCUUCUCCUGGUCUCCCAUGCGGUACAAGGCCCAAGCACUUGGGCCAUCCUCCACUGCCUUCCCGGGCCACAGCAGAGAGCUGACCUGGAAGAGGGGCAACCAGGACAGAAUCCAGUGCCCCGACCGGGACUGGAACCCGGUGUGCCAGCACCGCUAGGUGGAGGAUUAGCCUAUUGAGCCGCGGCACCGGCCUAGUAUCAUUUAUUAUUAAAAAAAAAAAAUCUGGAACUUGCUGGAGCUAAUGUUGAAAAAUAAGGUUUAUAUUUUUUCUUUUCAUUCCAUAUUUCCAUGAACUUCUCAAAGUCCCAUUAUACAGAGAGUCAUAUUGUUAAGGCAUAACAGACUGCUCCAAAGUUAGUGGCUUAACGGCAGUUCUGUGAUCUCAGUUCUGUAGAUCAGUGAUUUGGGCAGGCUUUGUCUCGAAUAACUCAGAGGUGAAUGCACUCUGAUUGCAGGUGUUGACUGUUGGCUGGAACUGCCUUCAUCCUCAGACUAGCCUGAGCUUCCUCAUAUAGUAGCAGCAUGCCCCACCAAUAGAGAGUAGAAGCUGCAAGACCUCCUGAGGCUCUAGGCUUGGAAGUUAUAUGACAUUACUUCCACCACAUUCAAAGCUAGCCAAAGACUGGGCGGAUUCAGAAAUUGAAGAAAUAGACUCACCUCUUGAUAUGGGAAGCAGCAAGGUCACAUUGCAAAGGAAUAUGUAUACACUAAUGGGAAGAAAUACUGAAUGAUCUCUGAUAUCUAUUACAAUAUUGGGACAAGUGUUGUGGUGCAGCAGCUUAAGCCAUUGCCUGCAGUGCCAGCAUCCCAUAGUCCCAGCUACUGUACUUCCAACCCAGCUUCCUGAUAAUGUGCCUGCGAAGACAAUGGAAGAUGGCCCAAGUUCUUGGGCCCCUGCCACCCAUGAGGGAAUCCCAAAUGGAGUUGAAGCUCCUGGCUGCAGCCUUCCCCAGCCCUAGCUGCUGCUGUAGCCAUUUGGGGAGUGAACCAAUGGAUGAAAAAGAUCUCUCUCUCUCUCUCUUUUUAAGGCAUACUACAAUAUAUAAUUAUUUCAAGAAUGAUACCAGCAAAUAAAAGCAGUUGACUUUUUUUAAAUGCUUAGUAAUUCCUUUAAGACUAGCCAAACAAGGAAACAUUAGUCAAACCUAUUCUUUAAACUGACUUGGUCAAUUUUGUGACCUUCUAUAGCCAAACUUUGAUGAUGCAUUAGCUUUUCUCAGUGGACUUGUUUUUCUUAUCAUUGGCUUUUUAAAAAAUCCAUUCUGUUCUAAAACAGCAUAAAAAUCUUAACAUCAAGUAGAAGCAAUUGCAGUUCCUUACAAGACCUAUAUACUCUUCCAUAUUUUAUUAGCUGUGAUUAUGAUAUGGCAUUUUAUAACACAUAAUUAAACCCACUAUUGUGUAAAAUAUAGGCCAAAGUAGGUCAAGAGGUUAGAAAGGGUCAUGGACAAAUUAAUUUAGAAGAACAAAUAUUAAACUUGUUCAUUAUCAAUAUAAAGAACUUAACACAUUAAGUAUUAUACAAACAAGAUGAAAAGAAAAGACUUUCCCUAAGAUGGUUGUUUUAAGGAGGGUAGGAAGUAGAAUAUUAACCAGUUAGAUGCCCUUGACGUAAACUCCCUGCUGGGAUUCCCUUGCAUGGCCUGAAACCUUCCAUUGCUAUUGCUAAAGGCACACUUAGAUCUUGCUGGCCAGAUGACACAAUGAUAUACCAUACCGCUUUAUGGACACCAAGCCAUAUCUUACCAGUCUCAUUCAAAUGCAUGCCAUGUGCCAUUUAACUGAAUUCUAUGAAAAAAAAAAUGCUGCUUGGUGGAGCUUUUCCAUAAGUCUCUAAUAUAAUGUACUACAUUUGGACAACAUGCUAAGUACUGUAUAUUUUUUCAUUGAAUCCUUACCAAGAACUGGGUUAGAUAGCCCAUUAUACAAUUAAGCAAACAGGCAAUUAGUGUCUAAGGUAGGAUUUAACCCUAGAUCUGAGUCUAGAGCCUGUGCUUCAAGUGAUACAUGAGGACACUGCAAAAUGUAGAAAAUGAAAUAAAAACAUGUUUAUUUCAGUGCAAAAAAAUUUUGAAAUGUGUGCAUAAUUGUUUCUGUAAUACACACUAUCCACAAACUUUUUGAAGAUCUCCUAUUCUGAUUGCCUAAAAUUUUUUUCUCAAUCUCAGACCUGUCCUUGGAAAGAUCUGCUAAGUUACAUUGCUAAGUGCUCUUGAGAGGGACCAUCUGAGUUUUCCUAGUCAUUGCAAAUUAGCAAAGCCAGGGCCAGUGCUGUGGCAUAGCCAGGUAAGGCUGUCAACCUGCAAUGCUGUCAUCCCAUAUGGGUGCUGGUUUGAGUCCCAGCUACUCCACUUCCAAUCCAACUCCCUAAUAAUGUACUUGCGAAAGCAGCAGAAGACAGCUCAAGUACUUGGGCCCCAGUACCCCUGUGGAGACCAGGAAGAAGCUUCUGGCUCCUGGCUUCAGCCUGGCCUAGCCCCAGCCAUUGCAGCCAUUUUUGGGGACUGAACCAGCAGAUGGAAGAUCUUUCUGUCUCUCCCUCUCUCUUCCCCUUAUCUGUAACCCUGACUUCCAAAUCUUUAAAAACAAAAAAAAUUAGCAUAGCCAAAACUGAGUUCUUCUCUUCCUUUUCCAAAUUUUAAUAACAGUGCUGCUGUCCAUUCAGGUGCUUAAGGUAGAAGUCUUGGAGUCAGAGGAACAAAUGCAAAGUAAUGAAAAUUACUUAAUUACACAGUUUCUCUUCUCACUUAUCCCCAACACCUAACGUAGAACCACAUGCUAUUGGCUAUAUCUCAGAAAGGUCUUCAAAAAACAGUUUCCUCUCUGCAUAUGAACUGUCAGUCUUCUAUUCCAAAACCUUAUUGCUAAACCAUUGAAAUGGUCUCCCUAUCACCCUGUUUUCUCUAACACAAAUCUCUUCCCCUAUUCCAGUUUUCUACACUAUGAACAGAAUUGUGUAGUCCAAACAAAUUUGUUACUCAUUAAAUCAGAUUCCUUAUGACUGCCAGUUGCAUACAUGAAUAAGCCAAAUUUAAACAAGGAUUAAUAAAAAUGUGUUUGAAAGUCAGAAAAAUCUGGAACUUCUAGCUCUAUUAUUCAUGAAUUUUGUGACUCUAAGCAAUUGAACUUCAAUUUCCUCAGCUGUACGUUACUUUCAGAGUUGUAAGAUAUCAAUGAAGAAAGCACCCAGCAGGACCUAGAACACAGUACACAACAAAUACUAGUAUACCUGGUCCUCCCACAUCUUCAUAUACUUCGUGCUUCAAAUACACUAGAUUUCUUAUCCUUGCCAGAAAUCAGCAAAUCAAAAAAUAGUUAACCUAGGUGGGAGGGAGAGUAGGACACAAGGGAAAUGUAAGGGGUCAUAACAGAGAUGUUGGUUACUUGGGUGUAUUAGUUUGUUGGAGUUGUACCACCAGGGCAGGAGGUUAAGCUGCAGUUUGCAUUGCCGGCAUCUCUUAUUGGAGUGCCGGCUGGAGUCCCUGGCUGCUCUACUGCCAGCUAAUGUGCCUGGGUAGACAGAAGAUAGCCCAAGUACUUGAGUCACUGCCACUCAUGUGGGAUACCCAGUUGGAGUUCCUGGAUCCUGGCUCCUGGCUCCUGACUCCUGGCUUUGGCCUGGUUCAGACCUAGCUGUUGUAGCUAUUUGGGAAAUGAAUUAGCAGAUGGAAGAGGUUCUCUCUCUCACACUUUCUCUGUUGCUUUGCUUUUCAAAUAAAUAUUUAAAAUUGUACCAACUCUUUUUUUCAAUGUGCACAAAUUUAACUUUUAAAAAUUUUAAAAGUUGGAGAAGUAAUAGAGUGAGGGUAGAUGUGGAUAGCAACACAGAUGAUGCAUGGCUGGAUGUUGAUAACAGGUGCAGCUCAGUGAUAAGUACAGGGGUCAUUUACUGUUCUAUUUUGUAUCUUUAAAAUUUUCUGUAAGUUAAAAAUAUGAAAAUAUGUUCAAAUUUAUUAAUAAAAUGCUAAAUAAAUCUUAAUGAGCUACCAGGGCACAUCCAACAGAAUGGCUGAAAUUGAAGACAGCUGUAAAUGCUGAUCUGGAAUUCCUGUUGAGGGGCUGUGGAGCGACAGGAACGCCCAUUAACUGUAGUUGACAGUAUUCAUUGGGACAGUAAUUCUGGAGAAAAAAAAUUGUUUCAUGUUAUCUACUAAAUUUGAAGUGGUCCAUAUCUAUGACCCAGUAAAUUUUACUUCUAAGGUGUUUCACACUAGAAAACCAUGCACCAAAAGACAGGUACAAGAAUUUCAUAACAUUUUUUGUGAUUUAUAAAAACUAAAAGCAAUUCAAAUGUCCAUUAACAAUGAAUAAAAAUGUUACAGUAAAUUCAUGCAAUAGAAUAUUAUAAAUGAAGGAUUCUAAGUACAUACAAUAACAUACACUGCAGAAAAACAACAUGGAUUAAAAGAAGAAACAAAAUGUAUAUAGGGGCCUGCCUUGUGGCUUAGCAGGUAAAGCCGCCACCUGCAGCGCAAGCAUCCCAUAUGGAUUCUGGUUCAAGUCCCAGCUGCUCCACUUCCAAUCCCCUCUCUGCUACGGCCUAGGAAAGCAGAGGAAGAUGGCUCUAGUCCUUGGGCCCCUGUUCCUGCAUGGGAGACUCAGAGGAAGCUCCUGGCUCCUGGCUUCAGAUUGGUGCAGCUCCAGCUGUUGUGGCCACUGGGGAGUGAAUCAGCGGAUGGGGGACUCUCUCUCUCUGCCUCUGCCUCUCUGUAACUCUGCCUUUCAAAUAAAUAAAUCUUUUUUUAAAUUUACUUAUUUGACAGAUAGAGUUAGACAGUGAGGGAGAGAGACAGAGAGAAAGGUCUUCCUUCUGUUGGUUCACCCCCCAAAUGGCCGCUACAGCUGGAGCUACACCGAUCCGAAGCCAGGAGCCAGGUGCUCCCUCCUGGUCUCCCAUGCAGGUGCAGGGACCCAAGCACUUGGGCCAUCCUCCACUGCCUUCCCCGGGCCACAGCAGAGAGAUGGACUGGAAGAGGAGCAACCGGGACUAGAACCCGGUACCCAUAUGAGAUGCCGGUGCCACAGGAGGAGGAUUAACCAAGUGAGCCAUGGCACCGGCCCCAAAUAAAUCUUAAAAAUUCUGGCCGGCGCCACGGCUCAAUGGGCUAAUCCUCCACCUUGUGGCGCCGGCACACCGGGUUCUAGUCCCAGUCGGGGUGCUGGAUUCUGUCCCGGUUGCCCCUCUUCCAGGCCAGCUCUCUGCUGUGGCCCGGGAGUGCAGUGGAGGAUGGCCCAAGUGCUUGGGCCCUGCACUCCAUGGGAGACCAGGAGAAGCACCUGGCUCCUGCCUUCGGAUCAGCGCGGUGCGUUGGCCGCAGCACACCAGCCGCGGCAGCCAUUAGAGGGUGAACCAACGGCAAAAGGAAGACCUUUCUCUCUGUCUCUCUCUCUCUCUCACUGGCCACUCUGCCUGUCAAAAAAAAAAAAUUUAUACAUAUAUAUAUGGAAUAGAUGGCUUCACAAAAACCUUUGGGGAGAAGGGAAGUAGUAGAAAUUCAUGGGGAAUGAACAUAGGGAAGGCUUCUGGGCACUUGGUGACACUCUGCUUUGGGUGAUUGAAGGGGCAUUGUGGCACAGAGGAUUAUACCUGAGUCCCUAUCAGAGUCCCUUGUUUGAGUCCCAGCUACUCCAUGCUUCCUAUCUAACUUCCUGAUGAUGUAGGAAGUUAAAUGGAAGGAAGCAUAUGACGGCCCAAAAACUUGAGUUCUUACCACACACAUGGGAAAUCUGGUUGGAGUUCCUGGCUCCUGGCUUGGACCUGGCCGUCUCCUGGCUGUUGUGGGUAUUUGGAGAGUAAACUUAUGGAUGGAAGAUUUCUCUCUCUCUCCCUCUCUCUGCUAGUCUUUCACAUAAAUAACUCUUGUUAGGUACCUGUUUCUGUUAUGAUAAAUCAUUGAAUUUUCACUUUUUUUUUUUUUGACAGGUAGAGUUAUAGACAGAGAGAUAGAAAGGUCUUCCUUCCAUUGGUUCACUCCCCAAAUGGCCACCAUGGCCAGCGCUGCGCUGAUCCAAAGCCAGGAGCCAGGUGCUUCCUCCUGGACUCCCAUGCGGGUGCAGGCGCCCAAGCACUUGGGCCAUCCUCCACUGCACUCCCCGGGCCACAGCAGAGAGCUGGACUGGAAGAGGAGCAACAGAAACUAGAACCCGGCACCCAUAUGGGAUGCCAGGGCCGCAGGUAGAGGAUUAACCAAGUGAGCCAUGGUGCUGGCCCCAAAUUGUCACUUUUGAUUUUGCAUUUCGUAUAUGUUUUAUUGCUGUCGGAUUUCUUACUAUGUGGUAUUUAGAAAUGAAUUUCUAAAUAGUGAAGAAAUGGACAAAUCAGAAUAGUGGUUAAUACUAUAUGUGGAGUGAAAUAUCACUGGAAAGUAAACUGUGAUAAGGUAAAAUGUAUACCGUAUAAAUCCUAAAGCAACUUUUAAAAUAAUUGAGUAGUGGUUACCUUUAUGUGAAGAGGAUUGGACACUGAUACUGGAUAGGGGUUGUUGAUUUUGGAGUUACUGGCCAUUUUGUAGAUUUUUUACCUUAAUGAUGGCUGCAUGUAUGUCUGCUUUAAAAUAAUUAAUUAAUGGCUAUGUUUUAUGCACUUUACGAAUGUAUAUGAUAUUUCACCAUAAAAAAGUAAAAGCAGAGCUAACCUAGAUUUAAAUGCCCCUGAAUUACAUCUGGCAUAAAAUUAGAAAUGAACUUUCCAAGGCUUUGAUCCUUUGUUCAUGCCACUCCUUAGGCCUGAACAUAUCCUUCCCCUCUGCCCGGAAAACCCUUUAUUCCAUCCUUCAGACUGUGUUGCCAGUGCAUCUCCGUGGAACCUGCUCCACAGGCAUUAGUUGCUCCAUCCUCUGCUCCUGCAGUAUAUCUCUGAUCAGUUGUCUGACUCCCAUUAGUGUGAGUUCCCCAGGAACUUAGUUGACAAAUUGUUCCUCUUUGCCAUGACAUUAUCUAGCACGCUUCCUAGCACAUAAUAGGAAAUCAUUACCAGGUAUUGGAUGGGCUUGAGUGAGUGACUUUCCAUUUUUAUUGAGCUACAGGAGAAAUAUUGACAAUAUUCAUGCUUUACAACAAGCCUAAGAAGGAAAAGUUUAGUGGUGAAAAAUCAAUUUUGGCUGUUUGGUUUAGUUAGGUUCUUAACCUAAUAAAAAAUUCAUUUUUAUUAUGGAGAACUAUACAAGGACAAUUAAAGGAACCACUAUUUUAUAGCAUUAGAAAUGCUAUGGAAUAUAUGCCAUAUCUGGAUACUUAAAACUAAUGAUCAUCAAUAAAGAAUGUGAUUUUUUUUACAGGAUGGUUUUUAUUUUGUUGGUUGAUUGGCUUUUGUAACUUUUAAUUUUGCUUUUUUAAGCAUUUUUUAUUUGAAUUUUAAUUAGCUUUUGAAAGAUAUAGUAUGAUUUGUAGAUACAAUUCCAAGCACAUAAUUAUAUCUCCUUUCCUCCCUCCCACCUCUUUUAUUCUCCCUUGUUUUUUUUUCUAGUUUUGUAUUUUAAAAAUUACAUUACAGCAGCUGGCAUUGUGACAUAGCAGGUAAAGCUGCCACCUGCAAUGCUAGCAUCCCAUAUGGAUGCUGGUUUUAAGUCCUAGCUGCUCCAUCUCCUAUCUAGCUCCCUGUUGAUGGCCUGGAAAAAGCAGUGCAAGAUGGCUCAAGUGCUUAGGCCCCUACACCCAAGUAGGAGACCCAAAAGAAGCUCCUGGCUCCUGGCUUCAGCCAGGACCAGCCCUGGCCUUUUCAGCCAUUUGGGGGAGUGAUGGAAGAUAUCGCUCUCUGUUUCUGUACGUCUGCCUGUCUCUCUCUCUCUCUCUCUCUCUCUAUCUCUCUCUCUCUGUAACUCUCAAAUAAAUAAAUCUUUUAAAAAAAAAUAAAGAAAAUGGCACUACAGUAAAAGGCUUAAUACUUACUGAAUAAUAAAUUUAAGAAGAACCAAAAAGACCCUAGUUUAGUGUCAAUAUAGACAAUGACUAUAAACGAUAAAUAGAAAAAUAACCAUUUCACCCACAUACAGUAAAUUUUAAAGUAAUCAGACUAUUAAAACUAUAGUAUAACUUUCUUAAUCAUUGGUUUCACAAGAGUAUAAAACAAAUCUUUACAAAUUUGCAGCAAUACUGAUAUAGGCCUUUCUUUUUUCUUUCUUCCUUGUUUGUUUUUUAAAUUUUAGCUACCUCAUAUAAGGGAGAAUAUUUGGUAUUUGUCUUUCUGGGUCUGGCUUACUUCACUCGACAUGAUAUCCUCCAGUUGUGUCCAUUUUGCAAAUGGUAGAAUUUCAUUCCCUUUAUAGCUGAAUAAUAUUCCAUUGUGUAUAUAUACCACAUUUUCUUUAUCCAUUCAUCUGAUGAUGGACACCUUGGUUGAUUCUAAAUUUUGGCUAUUGUGAGCAGUGAUGCUAUAAACAUGGGUGCAGGUAUCUCUCUCUGCUUUUUUUUUUUUUUUUUUUUUUGCAGGUGUCUCUGAUAGAUUGUGCUCAAGUCUUUUGGGUAUAUAUAUAUACCUUUUAGUGGGAAUGCUGGAUCACAUGGCAAGUCUAUUUCUAGGUUGUUUCUGUUUUUGAAGAGUUAUUUAUUUAUUCGAAAGGCAGAGUUACAGAGAGGCAGAGGCAGAGCUAGAGAGAGAGGUUUUCAGUCCACUGGUUCACUCCCCAAAUGACCGCAAUAACUGUAGCUGAGCCAAUCAUAAGCCAGGAGCCAGGAGCUUCUCCCAGGUCUCCUACACAUCUGCAGGAGCACAAGGACUUGGGCCAUCUUCUGCUGUCCCAGGCCAUAGCAGAGAGCUGGAUCAGAAGUGGAGCAGCUGGGACUUGAACCAGUGCCCAUAGGGGGUGCCAGCACUGCAGGCAGCAGCUUACCUGCUAUGCCACAGCUCCGGCCCCCAUUUCUAAUUUUUGAAGAAAUCUCCACACUGUUUUCCACAGUGGCUUAACUAACUUACAUUCCCACCAAUAAUGUAAAAGUGUUCCUCUUUGUCUACAUCCUCGCCAAUAUUUGUUACUCUGUUUUGGAUUUUAGCCAUUCUGACAAGGGUGAGGUGAUAUAUCAUUAUGGUUUUGAUUUGUGUUUCCCUGACGAGUGAUGUUGAGCAUUUUUCAUAUAUUUCAUGGCCAUUUGUAUUUCUUCUUUUGAGAACUAUCUAUUGAAGCCUUUUGCCCAUUUCUCAACUGGAUUGGGUUUUUUAUUGUUGGGUUUUUUAAGUUGCUGAUAUAUUCAGGAUAUUAAUCCUUUGUUGGAUAGGUGGUUUGCAAAUAUCUUUUCCAUUCUCUCUUCUGAGUUUGAUAUAGUCUCAUUUGUUUAGUUUUGAUUUUGUUGCUUAUGCUUUCGGAGUCUUAUCCAAGAAGUUUAUCUUCUACACCAAUUUCUUGGUGUGUUUCCCCUACUUUUCUUCCAGCAACUUCAUAGUGUCAGGUCUUAAAUUUAAGCCUUUGAUUCAUCUUGAGUUUAUUUUUGUAUAUGGUGAGAGAUAUGGAUCUAAUUUAAUUCUUUACAUAUAUAAUCCAAUUUUGCCAACAUCAUUUGUUGAAGAGAGUAACCUUACUCCACUGUAUGGUCUGAACACUUUUGCCAAAAAUUAGUUGGAUGUAUGUAUGUGAAUUAAUUUCUGAGCUCUCUAUUCUAUUCCAUUGGUCUAUGUAUCAGUUUUUAUGCCAGUACCAUGCUGAUUUGAUUACUGUAGCCUUGUAGUAUGCUUUGAAAUCAUAUAUUGUGAUAUCUCCAGCUUGUUUUUUUUUUUUUUUUUUUGUUUUUUUUUUUUUUUUUUUUCAGGAUCACUUUGGCUAUUCGGGGUCUUUUGUGAUUCCACAUGAAUUUUUGGAUUUUUUUUCUAACCCUGUAAAGAAUGCAUUGGUAUUUUGAUGGGGAUUGCAUUGAAUCUGUAAAUUCCUUAAGUAGCAUGGAUAUUUUAAUAAAGCGAUUCUUCUUAUCAAUGAGCAAAGAUAUAUUUCCAUUUUUUCUGUGUGUCAUUGAUAAUUUCCAUAAUCAGUUUUUGAUAAUUUUCAUUGUAAAGAUCUUUCACUUCUUUGGUCAAAUUGUUCCUAAAUAUUUGAUAUUUUUUGUGGCUAUUGUGAAUGGCAUUUUGUUCUUGAUUUCUCUUUCUCUGAGUUUACCAUCAGCCUACAAACAAGCUACUGUUUUUUAUAUGUUUAUUUUGUAACCUGCAGUUUUACUGAAUUGGUUUAUCAAGUCUAACAGCUUUUUGGUGGAGUGUUUAGGUUUUCCAUAUGCAAUAUCAUAUCAUCUGCAAACAUGGAUAAUUUUACUUCCUCUUUUCCAGUUUUGAUGUCCUUUAGUUCUUUCUCCUAAUUGUGAUCACUAAAACUUCCAGUAAUAUAUUUGAUAAGAAUGGUGAAAGUGGACAUCCUUGUCUUGUUCUAGAUCUGAAGGGAAAUGCUUUCAGCUUUAUCCCACUUAGUAUGAUAUUGGCCAUUGGUCUGUGAUAAGUAGCCUUUGUAAUUUUGAGGAAUAUUCCUUCUGCACCUACUUUAUGGAGGAUUUUUAUCUUGAACGGCAGUUGAAUCUCAUCAAGUGCUUCUCCUGCAUCCACUGAGAUGAUCAUAUUGUUUUUGUUCUUAAUUCUUUUGAUGUGAUUUAUGACAUUUAUUAGUUUGCAAAUGUUGAACCACCCUUGCAUUUCUGCAAUCAAUACACCUUGAUCAUGAUGUAUGGACUUUUUGAUGUGAUAUUGGAUUCAUUUUGCUAGUAUCUUGAGAAUCUCUGUAUAUAUGUUCAUUAAGGAUGUAAGUCUGUAGUUUUUUGUGUGUGUGUUGUGCCUCUGUUUGAUUUUGGUAUCAAAGUAAUACUGGCCUCAUAAAAAGAGUUUGACAGAGUUCCAUCCUAUUCAAUGUUUUGGAAUAACUUGAAGACUAUUGGAGUUCUUUCCUCUUUGAAUGUUUUGUAAAAUUUAGUAGUAAAGCCAUCAGGUCACGGACUUUUCCUUGAUAGAAGACUUUUUUUUUUUUUUUUUGACAGGCAGAGUGGCCAGUGAGAGAGAGAGAGAGACAGAGAGAAAGGUUUUCCUUUGCCAUUGGUUCACCCUCCAAUGGCCACCGCGGCCGGCACGCUGCGGCCGGCACACCGUGCUGAUCCAAUGGCAGGAGCCAGGUACUUCUCCUGGUCUCCCAUGGGGUGCAGGGCCCAAGCACUUGGGCCAUCCUCCACUGCACUCCCGGGCCACAGCAGAGAGCUGGCCUGGAAGAGGGGCAACUGGGACAGAAUCCGGUGCCCCGACCGGGACUAGAACCCGGUGUGCCGGCGCCGCAAGGCGGAGGAUUAGCCUAGUGAGCCGCGGUGCCGGCCUAGAAGACUUUUGAUUAACUACUUCAAUCUCAUUGCUUCUUAUGGGUCUGUUUCAGUUGUCUAUAUCUUCUUGAUUUAAUCUUGGUAAGUUAUAUGAAUCCAGCAAAUUAUCAACUUCUUUGAGGUUUUCCAGUUUAUUAGUUUAUAGAUUUUAUAUAGUUCUUCAUAGUAGUUUUUUUUUUUUUAAGAUUUGUUUAUUUAUUUAUUUGAAAGAGUUACAGAGAGGCAGAGGCAGAGGCAAAGAGAGGGAUAGGUCUUCCAUCCACUGGUUCACUCCCCAAUUGGCCACAAUGGCCAGAGCUGUGCCAAUCCGAAGCCAGGAGCCAGGAGCUUCUUCAAGUUCUCCCACAUGGGUACAGGUCCCAAGGACUUGAGCCAUCCUCUACUGCUUUCCCAGGCCAUAGCAGAGAGCUGGAUUGGAAGUGGAGCAGCUGGGACUUGAACUGGAACCCAUAUGGGAUGCCAGCACUGCAGACUGGGGCUUUAACCCACUGUACCACAGCGUCAGCCACAUAGUAGUUUCUUAUGAUCCUCUGUAUUUCAGUGGUAGCAGUUGUAACAUCUCCAUUUUCAUCUGUCAUUUUAAUUUAUUUGAACUUUUUCUUUUUUUUAAUAGUCUGGCCAGAGGUUAUCUAUUUUGUUUAUCCUUUCAAAAAACCAACUUUUUGUUUUGUUGAUCUCUUGAUCGUAGCUCUGGGGCUCGUAUCCAGAAACUCCCACAGUUGCAGGAUACUGGGGAUCUGUCCUUCGCCGCACACAUUGGCCCUGACCGUGUCUGGUGCUGGUAGGAAAACAGGCGCACUGGGUGAAUUUUCACUGCCUCGUCUGGCACUCUGGGAGAAGAAGGAAACAGGUGCUUCCCUGCUGCAAGCCCAGCAGUCACUCAGACCCCAGUCAGCUCUCCAGGCUGAAGUGAAAUCAUACAAGCUGUCCAGCUCCAGAUGGUCAUGAAACAGGACUUGCAGUCUAUCUUCAGAUGAUAUGACCAGUCCUCUGGACCAUGCAAGACUAUUUCUCAGGCCGCCUUGGAACACCAUAAGACAGACAGCAAGAGACAAACCCCACAACCAGCUCUAUGCCCAUAUGUCAGUUCUGAAGAGAAUGCAGAAGCUGGACCUUCAUCCAUGUUACCCCCAUAAGAGUAUGGGUUACUUCUCUUGAGGGAAAAUUGUUAAGUAGCUACAUAGACAUAGGCCUAUGUGUGAGGGGCUGAAGAAAAUGACAAUUUCUGUGUGAUGGAACAAGAAAGUAGGACUUGGAAGCAAACUCGCAUUUACAUAUCAAAAGUCUUGCCAUGGGGCCAUCGCUGUGGCACAGCAGGUUAAAGGCCCAGCCCACAGCACCAGUAUGGGUGCUGGUUUGAGCCCUGACUGCUGCACUUCCAAUCCAGCUUCCUGCUAAUAUGCCUGGGAAAGCAGUGGAGGAUGGCCCAAGUGCUUGGGCACCCAUGUUGGAGACCCAGAGGAGGCUCCUGGCUUCAGAUCAGCUGAGCUUGCAGCCAUUUGGGGAGUGAACCAGCAGAUGGAAGACUCUCUCUCUCUCUCUCUCUCUCUCUCUCUCUCUCUCUACCUCUCUCUUAACUCUCAAAUAAAUAAAAUAAAAAUAAAUCUUAAAAAAAAAAAAAACCAGUCUUGCCAUUGUUCAAUAACCUGGCUGGGUGGGUCCCAGCCCUCUCCCUGGGAGCAGCUUAAGGGAAUCUCAUCUGCUCUUUACCAAAGGGACUAUUAUGAAGUUCCAGGAGAGAUUCCACACCCAGAAAACUCUCCACUCAGCAACAAUCAAGAAAGGGUGUAAGGAGAGGAAGAAGAAGGCCCACGCCCAACAACCAUAAAAACUCCAGUCUGAAUGCAGACUGGUCUCAGUUCUUUACUGAGAUGCCUGCUUGGUCUGUCAGGUGUACUGUCUUCAUUAUUUCUCUUCAUUAAACUCUGCUAGCAUGCUUACCACUUAGAAAAGUUAGGGGCUGGCGCUGUGGGGUAGAGGAUGGAGUCACUGCCUGCAGUGCCUGCAUCCCAUAUGGGCGCCAGUUCGAGUCCCAGUUGCUCCACUUCUGAUCUAGCUCUCUGUUAUAGCCUGGGAAAGCAGUAGAAGAUGGCCCCCAUCCUUGGGCCUCUGUACCCGCAUGGGAGACCCAGAAGAAGCUCCUGGAUCCUGGCUUUGGAUCGGCGCAGCUCCAGCCAUUGUGGCCAAUUGGGGAGUAAACCAAUGGAUGGAAGACCUCUCUCUGCCACUCCUUCUCUCUGUGUAAACCUUUCAAAUAAAUAAAUAAAAGAAAAAGAAAAGAAAAGCUAAUUGAAUCUUCAAUAUUAUUGGAAACUAAUCAUCAGUUACAUGGCUGGAAACUUGUUCUGUUAACUCUUACAGGGUAUGAUGUUGGAAAUAGUUUACCAUUGCCUUUGUGCUAAUUGAUUAUCAGUAAAUCCAUUUCAACAUUUUUCAAAUAUCAAAUUGCAAAUAUCAUGUCAAACAAACUGUACUGAUGUUUAGUCAGCAAAAAUUUACUUGGUGCGUAUGUGCCAGGACCCUAUAAUAUGACCUUGAGUAAGAUAGGAAUUUCCUGUGCUCUUAGAGUUUCUAUUCUAAUUAUUGCGGAGCUCCUAGUCUAAUAAAUGGAGACAUGUAAAAAGUGUUUGUUUUUUUUUUCAUGAUCAUCACACAAGACAGGCACAAGGGAGAUGAUUGAAGCCAUAGAAUUUAACAGGUGCCUAUGAGGUUGUAUAGAUAACAGCAUUUGAGGGAAGAGAGCAUUUGCAAAAUGCUCUCAUAAAUUGGAGAAGAGAUAAUAGAUAAUGAAUAACAAACAAUAUGGUGGAAUUUUUUCCCAAGAAAUUUUAGUAAGUUACCAAGACCUAUCUCAUAAAGAUACCUGACUAAUGGAUUACCUAUUGCUAAAUGUCAGCAGAGUAAUUCAUCCUAAAUCCUAAGUUGUAUUUCUCUAGAAGUUUAAAUAAUUUCUGAAAUUAUACCCUCAUCUACAAAAUGAUCACAUUUUAAAUAUUUUAGAUUGUUUUAGAUGUUUGUUUUAGAUGUUUCCUCAUUGAAACAUUUUCAAAGGAAAAUUAUAUUGUAUCUUGAAUCUGAGAAAUCUGUAGGAUCAGAGUACAUGAAGAUCUUCUACAUAUAACCAAGAAAUUUGCUAGGUAUUUUUUUAGAUUUUUUAUUUGAAAGUCAGAGUUACAUAGAGAGAGGGAGAGACAGAGAGUAGAUAGAAUCUACUGGUUCACUCCCCAGAUGGCUGCACUCCCACCUGAGUGGCAGGGGCCCAAAUACUUGAGCCAUCUUCCACUGCUUUUCCAGGGGCAUGGACCAGAAGUAGAGCAGCUAUUUAUCUUCUAUAAAUAGCAAGUAUGCAUUUAGGGUAUUUUUACUUUUUCAUUUAACAGAUAUUUGUUAAACCAACCACAUUCUUAAAAGUUAGAAGAUAUAGGAGCCGGUGCUGUGGUGCAGUGGGUAAAGCCACCGUCUGCAGUGCUGGCACCCACUAUGGGCACUGGUUUGAGUCCCAGCUGCUCUACUUCUGAUCCAGCUCCUUGCUAUGGCCUGGGAAAGCAGUGGAGGAUGGCCCAAGUGCUUGGGCCCCUACACCCACGUGGGAGGCCAAGGAAGAAGAUCCUGGCUCUUGGCUUUGGAUCAGCACAACUCCAGCCGUUGCAGCAAUCUGGGGAGUGAACCAGCAGAUGGAAGACCUCUGUCUGCCUCUCCCCUCUCAGUGUAACUUUGACUUUCAAAUAAAUAAGUAAACCUUAAAAAAAAAAAAAGAAGAUAUAAUAGUGAUCAACAACAACAAAAACCAUGAUCUCCACCCACAUGGAGUUUACAGUUUCAUAAAACUGCUGCCUCCCCUUAGUUUUGAGUUGAGCUGGAAAUUUGGUGAGAGGAUUAGGAUAGGAGUUAGAAAAAAGCUUGCUGUUUUUUAAAAAAUUGGGUUUUUAAUUUUUUUUUUCAUCUACUUGAAAGAAUGCCAGAGAAAGAGACUGAGAUAGAGAAAGAGAUCUUCUAUCCUCUGGUUCACUCCCCCAAAUGCUUACAACAGGCAACUGCUAGGGCUGCUGUGCCAGGCUGAAGCCAGGAGCCUGAACUCUAUCCAGGUCUCCCACAUGGGUGGCAGAAGCCCAAGCACUUGAACCAUCUCCCAGAAUGUAUCAGCAGGAAGCUGUAUAAGAAGUGGAGCAGCUGGGACUUGAACCAGGCACUCUAAUAUGGGAUGUGGGCAUCCCCUGCAGUGCCACAACACCAGCACCGAAAAGUACCUUCACAAUUUGUGAUUUAGUUGACUGACACUACCACAAAUAAUACUGUAGAGUCCAAAGGAAGAGUCUGUGAUGUCUAACAUCCUUGCCAUGUGUACAGCCAUGAUCUGAAGAAAUGAAUCCCUGGGUUCUUGCUGGGGCCCAUUCAGCGUCUGCUGUAGGUAAACUAACUCUUGCUCCAGUUCCCAUUCCGUGAGUCACAGGUAAGCAUAUAUAAUCUGGCACAUAGUAGACACUCAACAAAUAUUACUGAUUGAAUGAACAAAUGGGAAGUAAACUCAGAAGUGGCAUCAGAGGGCCUGAAGAGAAAAUGACUCACUCCUUAAUUCAUUCAAUAAAUAUUUUAUUAUUUUAUUUUUUUAAAUUUUUUUUGACAGGCAGAGUGGACAGUGAGAGAGAGAGACAGAGAAAUGCUAUAACCAGUACUCAAACAGUAUUUUGCACUUUGUGUUUCUAUGUGGGUGCAAACUGUUGAAAUCUUUACUUAAUAUAUGCUAAACUGAUCUUCUGUAUAUAAAGAGAAUUGAAAAUGAAUCUUGGGGCCGGCGCCGCGGCUCACUAGGCUAAUCCUCCGCCUAGCGACGCUGGCACACCGGGUUCUAGUCCCGGUUGGGGCGCCGGAUUCUGUCCCGGUUGCCCCUCUCCCAGGCCAGCUCUCUGCUGUGGCCAGGGAGUGCAGUGGAGGAUGGCCCAGGUGCUUGGGCCCUGCACCCCAUGGGAGACCAGGAGAAGUACCUGGCUCCUGCCAUCGGA